AGUCAGGUCUUGUAAACAGUCCUUGUGGAAAAUGGGUGAGGGGCGCGGCGGGCGGGAAAUUUAUCUGCUCCUAGGUUGUUGUUGUUGUGAACUCGAGUUGUAUACAUUGUGGCCAGUGGUUGUGUUUGUAUAAUAUGGGUAUUCUCUGCUCAGAGUGGUCCUCUAAGAAGAUUGUUUCAGGAGCCCAACGUAAAUUCUUCAACGCUACAGCAACUUUGGGGGGAGUAUGCCUAUGUAAAUGAUCUCGUUCAGCGAAACUAACCAGUGGGCAUUUUAAUAUACGUAGAAAAAUCUGCACGCAAUUGUGAACACUUAAAAAUGAUACUUGAACUGCAGUUUGUUUUGGAAGUGCAGUUUCCGAAUCUUCAAAGAACUGUUACGUAUCAUCAUAUUCGGAAACUCAGGAGUCUAGAAGGUGAAUGGACUGUUUUUAAGUUGCUGGUUAGGUUCGUAAUGUAUUUGUAACAAAUUUUGUUAUCUUUGCAUACAAGGAGAAUACGAGAUGGA